UAAUACGUAGGGUGCGAGCGUUAAUCGGAAUUACUGGGCGUAAAGCGUGCGCAGGCGGUUGGGAAAGAUCGAUGUGAAAUCCCCGGGCUCAACCUGGGAAUGGCAUGGAUGACUAUCCGACUGGAGUACGGUAGAGGGGAGUGGAAUUCCGCGUGUAGCAGUGAAAUGCGUAGAUAUGCGGAGGAACACCGAUGGCGAAGGCAGCUCCCUGGACCUGUACUGACGCUCAUGCACGAAAGCGUGGGGAGCAAACAGGA
rnacentral:rRNA from 1 species